rnacentral:lncRNA from 1 species
UAUGAAAGCAGAAUUUUCAUUCAUUCAUGGAUUGGUAGAUAUAAAGAGGCGUUCUCAUAAACUACCUGUUAGAUCUAGAUAACAAAUAAUUAGCUAAUAACUUGAUACAGCAGAAACAGAUAAGCUAACUAACAUUCUCUCAAAAAAAAAAAAAAAAGAUAAGCUAAAACAUAAUUGUUGAGAUUUGGCUUUAAAUUUGUGGUCUGGAAGAACAGAGAAAUCGUGACACGAAUUUGACAUCGUGACACGAUUUCGUGAUGCCGUGAGCUGGUUUGCAGGGUGCCAAAUCGUGACACGAUCUUGAGGAAUCGUGACACGAUUUGCAAACUUGCUCGUUAAGUUUCCAUGAUAAGGACUGGUCAUACCUUGUGACGUACGUACCAAUCGUGACACGAUUUUAUCAGUGGAAGGCUAGUAUUUAAGUGUUCUUGUGCAGAUUUUGAAGGGAGUUGGAAGAGUGAGAAACUUGGGAAAUCAAAGGGAGUAACUCUAGGGUUUAGGGUCUUUGAUUAGAGCUUCUCUUGGGUUGGAAACAUUGUAAACACCUUGGUGAGUGUAAAUCAUUGAGUGUCUUGUUCUUGGUUUGAUUGGGAGAAAAGGGUAGAAAUUAGGGUUGUACCUUUGUGAACUUGUCAAAGCUAAUUUCUUGUAACCCCUUUUGUAUCUCUUUUGUAAGAACUCAUUGAUAGUGGAUUGGAGAGUUCAAUCUCUCCUCCAGAGUAGGACAAGUUUGGACCGAACUGGGUGAACAAUCUUUGGUGUCUUUGUUUUCCUCUUCCCUCUCCUUUUAUCUUGUGCUUGUGGUUUGUGCUUUUCACUUUGUUUCCUAGAUUAGAUCUAGGUGUUGUUAUUGUUGAUUAUUGCUUGCACUCACUUAAUUAGUGGUUACUACUUUCCUUUGCUCCACACAUCAUAUUUCGUAUUGGUGUGGUUUUGUACGGAAUUCACAACAAUAAUCACCAUAACAGAUUGGGAGUAACUUAGUUACCCUUUGUCUAUAUCAUUCAACGCCUAACAUGGUUUAUAACAGAUAACACCAAAUCACCAAGGGAGGUCCAUAUAUUUGAUUAAAUGAACAACAGUCACAUGUUUCUGUCAUCUGAAAUUGAAUAUCAUUGCAGAUUUUAACACAAAUGUGAUCCAUGUUUUAUUUUGUGCAGUUUGAGUUUUAAACUUCAGGGAACAACUUUUUUUGUUAGAUCAUGGUAUCAAAAGUUUAUGAAACAGCUAGCUUUUUGUAUUAACAUAAUAAUGUAAAAUAUUUGUACACUUUUGGAUUCUCUGCAACUUCAAAGCAUAAUUGAUGAAGCAAAGAUAUUACCAAUUUCAUUUAACAUCUUCACCUUUUCCCUUUGAGCUUGAGAGAUAGCCUGCUGGAGAUAUCUUAAAGCUUUCUUGUAAUUGAAGAAACCCAUAAACCAGAAGUCGAAACCAUCCACAGUGACUAUUUCUAUGUAUUUUUCUGACGGUUUCAUCAUAUUUUGACUUUGGUUGACUUGUUGUAUCUUUUCAAGUGGAAUAGAGACCUUAUAGUGAACUCUAAUCAAUUCUCCAUUCGAGGAAGAAAUUUUGAUGGAUUUGUCACUACAGAAAGCAAUUUUGUGAGUGGAAAUGAAGAGGAGGCCAGCUAUAAGACCUGAUGUGGUUGAUAGGUAACACUGAGAUGCUUUCAACAGCUUCUCCCCGUCGUUUGAAGAUUUUGAAAAUGAAGAGUUUGAAGAUUGAAUGUUUAUGACAAAACAUACUUUGGUUGACACUAAUAAAAGGGAGUCAUUACACCUUUGUGAGCUGGAAUUAAGCCUUUCUGAUGCUACACCUCUCUUAACUUUUUCAUGUAUUAGAAAAAAAGUAUAGAGGGAAAAAGUAAAGAGAUAUGGUGACGUAUAUAAUUAUACUAUAGAUACUUAUCAUAACAUAGUCAUAGAGCACUUACAUUCCCAUAUGGCUGUCACUGUUGGCAAUCAACACACUGCUCAACUUGAUUUUCACUGCAAUGAAAAUUUCCUGAGGUUCUCAAGCCCAAAGUUCUGAUGUGUGUGAAAGUUCUAAGAGAGAUUUCAGAAUUUUAUGGAUAGUAAUUAAUUGAAGUACAAAAUCAACAUAUAGCUAAAUACAAAUUGUAGUUAAUGGGUCAAAGGAAGAAUAGAAUAGACAAGCACACAUGCUACUGAUGUGGCCACUUUCUGUUUGGAUUGGAUUAGAUAUCAUCACUUUAAUGUUGUUUAAUUUGGAAUGGCCUUCAUUUGAAGAAAUUGGGAGGACCACAAACAUUGUAUCUUAAGAGAUGGAGCACCCAUGUUCUUGGAGAAGGGAAUCACAAAAUCAUUUCCAUGUGCAUCCACAUCAUUCUACAUUGACUAUUGUAUUUUCCAAAUGGACCAUGUUUUUAGAGGGAGGCCAUGCAUACAAGUUAUGUAUCAUAAAGUUAGCUUUCUGACAGGGCUAUGGUAAUAAGGAUACAGUUAUUGAACGUGAAAUUGUGUUUGGCAGAAGCUAGAAAUGGAUCAGAAAUUAAAAUCUGGCCUGAGGCCAGCUAUUGACUUUGUGCAUUGACGACUGACCUAUGUAGCACGGACACUUUAGAUUGAAGGCAUGUUUAGAGUUGGAUACAUAUUGUUGUUCGACACAAGCAUGACACCGAUAUAUGUGGUUCUAUUCGAUCAUUUUUAUUUUGUUAAAUUAUUAGGUAUUGUAUCUGGUGUUUGUGUAAGGUCUUUGAUGCCGACUCUUGGCACUUGCCAAAUCAUUACCACAUCAUCCCCAUGCCCCCGCAUGUUGUGAUAAUUUGAAACUUUAAAUGAAUGGUCAAAUUUUCUACACCAUAUUUUCUUUUAUUUGUUGCAUAUUGCAUAUUCACAUGUCAGUGGUGUAUGUUGCCUACCAAAAGUUUAAGAAGUUAUGGAAUCUCAGAUAUCAGUUGGUCAAACAUGGAAACCAUUUUACCUUUUUCUUUAUUACCCUAUCACAAGAUAAUUUAGAGAACUUACCAUAUCAUAAAGUUAGAAUUCCAGAUCAUAAAGCUCUGGUGAUUCAUCUCCAGUUACAAAAGCAUGCGUAGUUCAAAAGUAUUUCAUUCUUUACUUUUUCUGGUAUAAUUUCCUUAUACUUGGGGGAUAGCAAGCCAAUACACCAUGAAACUUUGCACCAAUAGAGAUAUAAAUCAACCUUUCUCCUAGCCUCUAAAAACAAACCCAUUAAAGGAUUUGUUUAAAAAGAAACCUGACUUGAAUCUUUCUUUGACAUCUUUUUCUAAAAGCAACCAAACCAAGCAAUCAAAGUCAAAAUGUUGAGAAGCCAACACAAAAGGACAUAAUUAUAAUCACAAGUUUUUGGGUGUCUUCAAAUAUCAGAAAACUUUCAAAUAUAUCGAAAAGGCGAUUUCUCAAGUUUAGAUGAAUAUUGUCACAAGUCCUCAGCUGGAAUCUCCAUGUUGCCAUGACGAACAUUAAGAUUCAAUAGAUUAUGAUCAUUUGUGGCUUAACUGAAAGUUUUUGUUUUUAUAGUUGAAUUAUCAUUCAUUAGUGGAUUGAAGGAUCGGAUUGCUUGAAUCACGAGUCUUAUUGACUGUGUUAAGAUCAACGCAUAUUGAUUAAAAUCCACAGAACUAUUUGAAAUGUAAAUCAAAGAAAAAAAUAUCAGGUCAUAAAAACAGGAAUACAUGAAUUGCUCAAGAAGGUUUUUCGGUUAAAACACGGUGCGGCUCACAGUAAAUAAGACUUCUUAGUCAAUCCAAAAGGAUAUCCGGCAGAAUGCUCCUACCCCACUAGGUUUAUAGAGGUGUUCUUAGAGCUAGAUUAUAAGUAAAUUUGAUAACUUUAUACAGCAGACACAUAUGCUAACUAAAAUAAGCACCAUUACAUAUUAGUAGUCACCUUUGUCCUUAUCAUUCAACACUUAACAUGGUUAAUAGAAAAGUAAGUAACAGAUGAGACCAAACGGAACUCUGUAUUUUUUAUUAAAUGAAUAAUAGUCAAAUUAGUUUCUUUCAUCUGAUAUUGAAAUGUCCUUGCAGAUUUUAACAAAUUUUUUAGCCAUGUUUAAUUAUCUGUAUAUUGGGUUUUAAACUUCAGGGAACAACUUUGUUUGUUCGAUCAUGUUUAAUUAUCUGAAUGAGUUGAGGUGAUAGAAAUUCCAUUAAGUAGCUCAUGAAGGAAUGAUGUCUUCUUCCUUGUGUAUCUGAAGUUAGAAUCUUUGAGGGCUACUAACUUGUGAAAAGUAUUGAGGAGCUCUUGUAAUUUUUUUGGUUGAUGAGUCCUUGUAAUCUAAAAGACUUAAAGAGGAAACAAUGUCACUGUUGACUUUUUGUGGGAUGAGUCAGCAAGGGAUCAUCAUGAAGGCUAAAUGGGAUUAUAGUGUUUGAUCCUACAAGAUAUGAGUAUUUGUUUAAGGCAACUUUUUAUGUUUAAAGUCUCCCAUUGGUAUGUUAUAAACUUGGCACAUGGGUGGUUUGGACUUCAAUUGAUUUAUUUAUAUAGAAUAUAUGUUGAUGCAUUUAUCAGGACAAUUUUUUGAUACUUGGAAAAAGUCACCCUUUUGAAAUUGGACAAUGUCACGUGCAUGAUGACAAAACAUGUCUUGUUUCAACUUUAUUUAUUUACUUACUUUUGUGGCUUACUAACUAGACUAUAUAAUAAAGUAUUGUAAAAAAACAGUUUGUAUAAUAAAGUAGUUGUUAAGGGUUAAAGAAAAAGAAUACAGACAGGGCCAUGCCAUGGCACCUGAAAUUGGUAAAUGAAAAAAAGAAACAAUAAAUAUUUGAGGAUGUCAUGUGGUAGACGAAGUAUAGGGGAAGACAUAUAUCAAUCAAUGGUUUGUGGAAAAGGAAAUAUAUAGCAAAAAAUUAAGAGAUGGGACACAUGUUUCUGAAAAGGGGAAUCACCACAUCAUUUCCAUGUGCAUCCACGUCAUUCAAAGAUGAGUCUUGCAUCUCUAAAUCCUACCAUUGCCAAAUUUAUUUAUUCUUUAUUCAAUUUAAAAUGUGCAACAAUUUUAUUUUAUCUCUCAAAAAAAAAAUAUAUAAAGUGAGUUUGCUGACAGGGCUAUGAUAUGGUUAAUGGAUAAGGAAGGAAUGGUAAACUUAAUAUUAAAAAGAAUAAUAUAUGACCAUGGAAUAUGGAAUUUUGCUAAGUUUAGAAAAUGGAAAAUGUCUCAUGCCAGCUAGAUUAACACUGUGUGCUGCAAUGCAAAGAGUCUUUGAAGGGAUUUUAAGGUUUGGUGAAAUUUGGAAUAUUGCCAAAUCAUUCCCACAUCAUCCACAUUACCAAACAUGUUGGGUUGAUUUGAAAUUUGGACUGAAUGAUAUUAAAAAAUUUGACCCAAAAAAUAAAAUAAAGGAAGGAAUGAUCAGAUAAAAUUUAGGCCCCAAUAUAGUGGUGUUACAGGUAUAAGAAGUUAACGAUGAUACUCUAAGGUACUUAUAUCAUCUACCCUUUUCAGCAUGUCCAUUACAACAAUGCAUGAUGAAAUUGUCUAGUCGUUACAAAGCCACAAUUCAAGGAACAUAGUAGAUCACUUGCAUCAAUUGAGUAAUUCGAAAAAUACUUGGGUGACUUUGAAAAUUAAGGAACAUAGUUCUACAGUGUUGUUGACAAACUUUUUUUCUUUCUGAGGAAGCUAAAGUAAUACAUCUAAAUUAGCACGAGAGAAUCGAACAUAAAACAUUGUAGAGGAGCAUACUCGCAAAUCACAAACCAAUAUCUCCAUUGUUACUUGUUACAUGGUCUACGAUGGAGCAGUACCUAAAUAUUAUUAAAAACUUUAGCAAUGAUGAACUCUUCUUAGAAGUAGAAACGGUCUUCAUUGUUGAUAUAAUUGAGACAAUGCUGAUGUUGCUUUACACAAAAACUAGAAGAAGAAAAAAAUAUUAGUUAGGUUUUGAGUCGUUUUCUUCUUUUUUUUCGAACUAGUAUCGACCAAGUCAAUGUAUCUUCCUUGAGGACGAGAAAAAUUAUGAAUUCCUACUACUAGAAGGCAACUUCUUAUCACCGUUGAAGUUUCAAACGAUUUUUAAAUUUCAUUCUUCGAUGAACUGCUUAUCAAAGUGAUCCAUCCUAAAAUUUACCAUGAAAUCAAUUCACUAGUUAAAUUAGAAUACUAAAGUAUCAAUGCUUGGAUCUAGUGGCGGAUCUCUUUAACGACCGAUAUAUAGAUAUCACAAUAUACACCAAUUUUAUUUCUUUGUAUAUAAGACAUUACUUAAAUACUCAAUUUUAUUUUACACACAUAAUCUCUUUCUAGUCCCAUCUCAAUUUACACAUGCAAGCAUAUUAGUAGGGUAGACUAUCCAGUUGGUAAAUAAAGUGGAAAUGAUGGUCCAGCAAUCUUUUUAAUUGCAGUUAUACGUAUCUAUGGUAUAAAUAUGGUCACACAGAACAAACUUGGCCAUCAUAUUACUUACUGCAAGAGAAUUUAGACAAGUGUAGCAUCACAAAGUUAAUAUGCCAACUCAUAAAGCUCUGCUGAUGCAUCCUCACACAAUUACAUAUUUUGAUUUGGUAUACAUUUACUUUUUUGGUUUAAUUUCCUUAAAGCAAUUUUCCAAAACAGGACAGUUCUCCAAAGGGUUGGCCGACAUGUCACAUACACCAUGGAAUCUUGCUUCUGAAGAAAUAUAAAUUAACCUUUCUCUAAGCCUCUAAAAACAAACCCAUUCAAGGAUUUUUUUUUGAAACUUUUGAAAAAGCUAACUUAUAUCUUUCUUUACCAUCUUUUUCUAAAAGCAACCAAACAAUCCAUGAUGUCAAAAAUUAUUUUGAAUAAAAUCCCUUCAAUUCAGUUGCCAAGUGGGUAGGGUCUUUAUUACAUCAACCAACAUCACGGUCCAGUCAUAUCACAAUAGUAUGUAUAUCAAGAUUCACAUCCUACUUUUAAUCCCUUUAAAUACUACAUACUUAGAAUACAAAUGGACUGAUCAAACCAAGCAAGCUAAGCUUCCUCUAAUAGCUCAAACUCAAACCAUUCUCUCUUCACCUAGUGCUAGUGCUAGUCUUUUCAACAAAACACAAACCUUAGUAAUCAUCAUUCAACAUGCAGAUCUCACUUCUUCAUGAGCUAGUUUCUGGAACUCCAAUCAUAUUUGAUCAGUUCCAAAAUUCCGUUAACAGAUACUUACUUGAUUCUACCUCUCAUCAAUGUCAAUAUCCAUCCAAACAUCAAAGCAAAAGUAAGACUUUCAUUUCCUUUACAGACGAAUCAUGAAAAUCGAUCUGUAUUGAUGGUUUUACCAAUAUAGAGUGCUUUUUAUUGUUUCAGGUUUAACAAAUUCGAACAAGAAAAGGCUUGCUAGAAAGGCUGAUAGUCUCUCACAAAAAGUCCAAGAACAUGGUGAGUACCCUUGUAAGACUGAGAUGUGUUUCCAAUUGUUAUUGCAUAUAUAGUUUAUGAAGUCCAUGCCUUUUGUCUGCAAUAUCUAUAUCAGUUUAUGAACUCCUCGUAUAGUCAUUUACUCGAUCGUUUCUAAUCCUAUUAUAUAUAAUUCUUAAAUUUCAGUAAGACUUAGAGCAAACAUUUCUGAAACAAUUAAGAGAAAAUUGAGCUUAGGGGCUCAAAUUCUUCAAGUGGGUGGAGUGGAGAAAGUGUUUAUGCGGUAUUUUAGUGUGAGUGAGGACGAGAGCCUGUUGAAAAUUUCGCAGUGUUAUCUAUCCACCACAUCUGGCCCUCUAGCCGGUCUCCUCUUCAUCUCCAAUGAGAAGGUUGCCUUUUGCAGUGACAGAUCAAUAAAAGUCUUUAAUCAGAAAGGUCAAAUGCGUAGGAUCCGCUAUAAGGUAAGUCCCAGAUUAAUAUACACAAACCUAUUCAUAUCUCUCGGUUUCUCUAAAUCAAGAUUUUUUAAAAUUCUUAAUGGUAUGUAUAUGUCUCAUGUACAGGUUACCAUUCCACUAAAGAACAUCAAGUGUGUGAAUCAAAGUCAAAAUGUUGAGAAGCCAACACAAAAGUACAUAAACAUCGUCACAGUGGACAAUUUUGAUUUCUGGUUUAUGGGUGUCUUUAAUUAUCAUAAAACAUUCAACUAUCUCGAGAAAGCAAUUUCUCAAGCUUAGAUGAAUAUCAAAAGUCCACCAUAUGUGCAUAAUAUAAAUAGUUGGACUGGAAUGAAGCUUCAUGUUGCGAGGACAAACAUUAUAAGACUGAACUUAAAUGAGAUGAUAAAUAUUAUAGUUGCAGAUAUUGGGCACUGUCUUUGAUAAGAAGGACUUCAUCGACAGUAUUGAUCAUCCUCAAGCACAAAACAUGCUGAAUUUUACCUUUCCACACAAGAUUGACCAAUUAUGACAGAUGCACAUGAUUCAUUUCAUUCAUAUAUAUCGGCUCGAAUGCAGAAAUGCCUGUCAACAUAUUGUUGAUAAAGUUGUGGAUAAACGAGAUCAUUUGACGCGUGCUUUGUUGCAUGAAAGGAGGUUAUUUUUAUGGUAGAAAACAAGAUGGAAGGAGAAGUAAAUAGAAAGAAUGAAGUUUCAAGUUCAAUUACUUAACGGGUUUACUACGUGCAAGUGUUCAGUAACUUUUGAAUUGUAUUCCGACCAUUCAAAUCUUCAAUAUAAUCUGUUUAUAAUUAUUCAUUUAAAUCUUUUUCAAUUAGUUGGUUUAAAUAUUAACAUAGAUUACAUAAAUAAUUGGAUUGGAUACUCUCAUCAUGUGUUGCAACAAAAUGGGGCAUACAAUAGGUAAAGUAAUUUUGAAAUUGUGGCUUAACUUAGUCAAUCUAACAAUUCUAACACCAUAUUUGUACCUUUUUUCUGGUUUUAAACCUAACCAAAAACAUUUGCCUCCUUAAAUUAAUCAUUAAUCAUAAGAUACAAUACAAAGAUAAACAAAAGAGGGAUGCAUGCAUGCGUACAAUGGUGGUGAUACCGAUUGGUCAUGUGAAAGCUUCCCCAACUCUCAUUCUAAUAUGGUCAUUAAUUUCUAAUUUUAUCUCAUCUAGUCUUAUCACAAAGUCCAAUGUCACAUCCUCAUCUGCGCUGCUUUUAUUUUAUUCACGUGUUGGUUCUUCACCCUCCAACACUAUGUUCCAUCCAUACAACAUUGUUAGUCUUACCACUAUCUGAUAAAAUUUUGCACCAGUAUUAAUUAAGAUUCUUUACCCCUAUAUCCAAAACCUAUUGAUUCAACUAUUGUCUUUUGUGCUACUUGUCUAAUCUCACAUGUAAUCUUGUCCCACAUAUCAUUUUCACUAGCUUCUCGAAACCCCCCUCUAAAAUCUUGCGUUGAUAAAGACCUCUGUUUCCCCUUGCCAUCACUUGAUCCUUGCAGUCGCACCGUGUGCUUAUUCUCUUCUCUCUCCUCUCAACUCUUACAUCUAUAACUAAUACUUUAUGUUGGAUAGUCAAGCGCUCUUUAGAUAUAACUAUACAUUCCAAUAAAAUCUUGAUGUCUGGUUUUCUACUAAGAAAGAAUUAUAUUUGAGAAUGUGUCACACCACUUUUGUAUGGGAUAAAAUGCUCUCUUUUUUUCUCCUAAAUCACGUAUUAGUUAUAGUAUGAUCAAAAACAGAUGAAAAAUCUAGAAUGUAUUUACUCUCUAUAUUACUAUUUAUCUCCCUAAAGCCAUAUCCCUCAUACACGUACGCAAAAAUACUUGAACCAUUCCCUAUAUGCCUAUUUAGAUCCCCUCAUAGAAAGAUAUUUUCUCCUAAUGGUAUAUUCUGAAUUAAACCUUCAAAAUCCUCCCAAAACGUUACUUUAAGGUCUUCUAACCCUGCUUGAGGUGUGCAAGCACUAAUAACAUUAAUGGUGACUUGUUCCACUUUAAAUUUUAAGAUUAUGAUUCGAUCUCCUAUCCUUUUUACAUCAACAAUAUAUUUCUCAACUCCUUAUCAACAAGAAUAUAUAUCACGUUUAUCAAUCUAAUUUUGUAAGUGUAUCAAAACUUAAAUCCCAAACUACCUAAGUAUUUCACCUUCUCACCCUCCAACUUAAAUCCACUUGGUUUCUUGUAGGCAUAUAAAAUUAAUUGUCCCACUUUGGAGCAGGUUGUUGAUAUUGGGAGAUUGUUACUCCCCCAAUUGCAACUCUUAAUCUUCAAGCCAGGCUAAGGGACUCAUAUAUGAAUGUGAUUGCUUCUCAAGACUCUUCUGCUGCUUUGUCUCUAAUUGUGCCGAUCACAACCACUCUAGUAGCACUUGGUCCUGACAAGCCGCCAGUUAGCUUUUCUCCUGCAAUCUUGUCAACUCCUACCAACAAUGCUUUAAAAACCUGAUCAAAGAAUUCCUUAGUCGUAGUAUCCACUACGCGCAAAGUGCAAAAACUAAUCUCUAAAUAUUAUUGUAAAUUGAACACGUAAUUUAAUUUAGCAUAUCUACAUAUUCUGAUAUUCAAAAUUACAAAUUUUAAUUAAAUAAUGUCUAUACACAUAUAAUUGAAAUUAUUUAAUUACAAAUCGUUUGAAUAUUUCCAUAUAAAAAAAUUAUUAGAUUGAAGAAAACAUUACACUUUAAUUUGAUUUAAUUUUACACCACAUCACCCUGAUUACAAGGCCCAUUUGUCCCGGAAAAAAAACCUUUUGAGAAAUUUUUCAUCUCUUUUUUCAAAAGCUUUUUGUUAUUUAAAACUACUUAAUUAUUUUUUACCAACAUAUCCUUAUUUAUUUGACAUCAAUUUCUCAAAAAUAAAUAUUUUGGGUGAAAACAUAAACUAACUCUCUCCUUUCUUAAAUGAUGUAAUUGUAAAAAAAAUAAAAUUAAUACUAUUACCAAUUUUUUUAAUUCUCAUGAUUCGAUCAAAUAAUGAUAUAUUUUGGGACAAAGGUAGUAGACACAGCCCACUAAAAAAAUGGGUUAAUUGUUAAAAUUGAUUGUAUAAAUACGUGAAGUUUAAAAAAAGACCAUGUAAAAUAAAAAAUACAAAUUCUAACCCUCCAAUUUGAGAUUUUUAUUAUUUUUUAUCUUGUAAGAUACGCGAAUUCAUGACUUUUUCUAGGCAUAUAUGACGUCAAAAUGUGGAUUUACACAAAAUAAAUUUGAAUUUUUCGACUAUGGACAAAUUAAUUAUGAAUUUUUGAAAUGCAAAAAACUUAAAACCAAAACAACAUAAAUCUCGACCUUGAAAUUGAAUUUUAGACAUUGUUCAGAAAUCAUCUAUAAAAAUACAUAAAAAGUAUCUGCAAAGUUUCAUAGUAUUUGAAAGAUGUUUCGACUUAUUUUUAUUGUUCAACCAUAACGUGUAAUUACAAGGGCACUUUUUUUAUCAGAAGUUUUUUUUUUUACAAUUUUUUUUAGAGUUUUUCUAAUUACACCCUGUUUAAUCCUGGUUGCAUCCCAAAAUGACAAAAUUACCCUUCCAUAAAAUUUAAUUUUUAAAAAGCAUCUUCCUUUUUUCUUGGUUACACCCUAAAAUCCCUCUUCAGUUUAAGUAGGUCAUAUAAACUUAGUUUCAGUAGGUCAUGUAAACUGAGUUUAAGUGUACAUACUUAAACUCAGUUUAAGUAGUUCAUGUAAACCUAGUUUAAGUGUACAUUUAAAAGUUCAACCUUGUUCAAUGAUUCUACGUAAUCUCAGUUUAAGUAUGUACAUGUAAACUUAUUUUAAGUAGGUCAUGUAAAGUAAGUUUAAGUGUACAUAGUUAAACUCAGUUUAAGUAGAUCAUGUAAACUUAGUUUAAGUAGGUCAUGUAAACUCAGUUUAAGUAGGUCAUGUAAACUGAGUUUAAGUGUACAUACUUAAACUAAGGCAAAGAUUGUGAACAAAAUUAAUAUGGAGUCGGUUUUGAAGCUAUCAUGAUUAGUAGUUUUAAGACCAUCCAUAAUGGUGGGUGUUUCACCUAUUUAGCACCACAUUAAAUAGGCAACCCUAUUAUGAAGUAUAACAUAUGGAUGCUUAUGGAGGAUGGUGGCUAUGGAAACACCCUCUCUCUUCAAUUUUCAUGGGUCACAUUUAAUAAAUCUUAGUAAAAUGAAUAAAUUUCGUUAAAAAUGUAAUGGUAUAGAGUUAUUUAUGCGGCCUAGUUAAUAAUUUCUUUUGAGGUGUUGGGUUGGAGAAAAUUGAUGCUUAUCAAGUAUUACCGUAAAAUUGAUGAUGUGGAUAUAAGGGACCCACUUAAGCAUCCAAUAUGAAGUGCUCAGUUGUGGAUGGUCUAAUAAUGCAAUGAAUACAUUGAUUGCAAUUUAUUUUCAUUGCUUUGAUAAAAAAUAAAAAAUAAAAAUACAUUGAUCGCCAAAUUAAGAUAUUGAAUAAGAUAUGGAAUAUUUUUAUGGGCAAUUAAAUAAUAUACCUUUUUAAAUAAACGUGUACACCUUUUUUUCUAUUAGAAGAAAUGAACCAGAUUUUUUAUUUUUUUUAAUAUAAUAAUCCUUGCUCUAUAUAUACUACUCCUAUUGAUAAAAAUAAAAUAAAAUUAUAUAUAUAUAUAUAUAUAUAUAUAUAUAUAUAUAUAUAUAUAUAUAUAUAUAUACUACUCCUAAGAAAGAGUGAAGAAGAAAGAAGAAAAGAAAACAAGUAUGGAUCAUAAUAAUUUUGUGCUCUCUUUUUCUCUGUUUCUUAUUCUCUUGAGUUACAAUGUCAAUGGAGCUUUCGAUGAGUUAGCCACUAUACCAUACAAUGAUGGUUUUUCUCAUGUCUUUGGCAACGUUGUUCCAUCAUUCGAUGGUAACUCUGUCCAAAUCUCCCUCAAUAAAAACACUGGUAAAUUUUAAACUUUUAUUUUAUUUUUCAUAACAUAAAAUUUUUAUAUUUUCUGAUAUUGUUUUUGAAUCGACGGAUUUUUUUAUGAUGAAUAUAUUAUAGGGUCCGGUUUCAAUACCUCUAAUAGGUACAAAUACGGACUUUUUAGCGCAAAGAUCAAGUUACCAUCGAAUUAUACUGCCGGUGUUUGCGUGACGUUUUAUGUAAGUACACAAAUCCUACUUGAUUCUAAAGGCACACACAAUCUACAUGUAUAAUUUUAUGAAAAAUGUUUCUUAAACAUCCCAAACGUGUAAUCACUUUGAGACAGAUUGACGUAGAAGAGAGUAGUAUUGUAUAUGCAUAUGAUAUGUUGUUAAUGUGAUAGAAAGAGAAUAAGAUUUUGAAUGAGUAUAAUUUAUCUUGGUUUUUGCUCUUUGAUUUUCCCUUUGGUAUCCACUUUUCAAUUUAUGGCUUAAUCCAACAACAUUGUAUUGGAGAUGAAAUGAAAUAAGAAAAUUGUGUUUGGUGCUUAUUUUCAGCUUUAGUUAUUAAGGCAUCCAUUUUGUUGUUUUUGGUGCUAUUUUGUGUUGAAUCCUUUUUUUUCUCUCUAGUGUUUUCUGGAUACAUUAAACAAAAUGUUUGGUGUUAUUUCUUUUUCAUUUAAUGUAUCCUUUUCCCAAAUUAAUCGUUUAUAAUUUUGAGUUGAAUCCUUUUUUUUUUCUUUUUUUGGAUUUUUAAUAUCCAUGCUUUCAUAGGAGUUCAUCCAUGGUGUUCAUGAAGUUCAUCUUCUUCUAAAUUAUUUUUUUAUAUUUUUUACAAACAUUAAAAUAUAGGUUUUAAUAAUUAUAGAAAAAAUCUUGUUUUUUUUUUUUUUAUGGAAGAAACAUUCAAAAUUGAAAAAAUCUUGUCAAAUAUUUUUUAUGGAAGAAACAUUAAAAUAUGGGUUUUAAUAAUGACAUUUUCAAAAAAAUUGUGAUUUCCAAAACUAAAAUGCAGUAAAAAGUAACAAAAGUAAAAAAUUGUAAUUUAAUGGUUGGAAAUUAAAUGGGGAGUAUUUUAAAAAACUUUUGGUGCCAACAUUUUUUUGAAAAGCGAUAUUUGAUUUUAUUUAUAAUUUUCGUGGCUCAUUCUUAGAAGAAAAAUUGAAGCCCAAAAUCAAAACAUAAAAGCCUAAAUUGAGCUCAAAUUGAAUUAAUAAAAAAAAUAUUACUUGUGGGGUCACAGGUACUAUUAUAACAAGAUUGCCAAUAGGUUGCUGGUAAAAAAAUUAACUGAAUCUAAACCAUUCAUUUAAAAUAAUAAUAUAUCAAUGGUUAUAAAUGGUACUUUGUCAUGGUGGAAAAGUAUCCCUCUACCCACCCUAAAUGCCACCCAUGAAUCAAGUGUCUCAACCAAAUCAACCCUAAGAAGAAGAAAAAAUUGAUGAUGGUUAAGUUCAAAUAUUAAUCUCAUUAAUACAACGUACUUGAAAGUUACGCUAUUAUGGAUAGUCAAGCUAAUUUAAAAUUAUAUUCGUACUUGAAAGUUACUCAAAUUUUGUUAAAUUCUAUAUAGAUUGUUUUGAUUGUAAGAGUAAGAUGGUACACUAUACUUAGAGCCUAAUUAAAAACUUUUUUAACAAUUGGUAGCAGUGAAUCUUACAGCACAAUGCAAAGAGGUUGUGACGUAUAAUCCAUAUACUAAAUCCUACUUAUGCAUAACAUAGAGAUAGAGUCAUUGAGCACUUAAAAUAAGAAGAAAAAAAGUAAAUGAAGGUGAAUGAGGAUGUCAAAUUUGUGAAUGUUUAAGGCAGUCUAAACAUGUCCCCAAAUUUAAUGUAUGAUAAAGGUUCCAAUAGGAUCUUAUGGCUGGUAAACAGUCAAACAAAAUCAAACGACAUUAUUGACAAUGUGUGUUGCAAUGUUCGACAUUAACAUUUUAGUCAUAUAUAUGUUAGAAAAAAUGAAAAUGAUGGUCCAUAAGUAGUUACACGGAAUAAACUUGGACAUCAUAUUAAUUACUUGUAUAUACCUACCUUACUGCAACAGAAUUUAGAUAAGUGUAGCAUCAUAAAGUUAAAAUGCAAACUCAUAAAGCUCUGUUGAUGCAUCCUCACAAUUAUUUCAUCCUUUAAAACUUUUGAAAAAGUUAACUUAAUUAUAUCUUUCUUUCUUUACCAUCUUUUUCUAAAAGCAACCAAACAAUCCAUGAUGUCAAAAUAUUAUCUUAAAUAAAAGUUCUUCAACCAAGAUAAGAUGAUGGUUGAGUCAUCACACAAUAGUAUCAAGAUUCACUUCCUACUUUUCAUUCCUAUAUCUUACAACAAAACACAAAUAUUAUUAACCGUUCAAUAUGAAUACCUCAUUUAUUCAUGAUCAGUUUCAAAGUUCGAUAAACAGAUACAUACUUGAUUCUGCCUCUCAUCAAUGUCAAUAUCCAUCCAAACAUCAAAGCAAAAGUAAGACUUUCUUUUCCUUGACGACAGACGAAUCAUGAACAUCUAAUUUCGCUAGGUAUUGAAUGUUUUACCAAUAUAGAGUGCUUUAUUGUUUCAGGUUUAACAAAUUCAAACAAGAAAAGGCUUGCUAGCUAGGAAGGCUGAUAGUCUCUCACAAAAAGUCCAAGAACAUGGUGAGUGAGUACCCUUGUAAGACUCAAACGUGCGUGUUUCCAAUUGAUACCUUUUGUCUGCAUAGUAUCUAUAUCAGCUUAACUCAUCUUAGUAUGGAUUGAUCAUUUCAUUUCUAAUCCUAUUUUAUAUAAUUCUGAAAUUUCAUUAAGACUGGGAGCAAACAUUUCUGAAACAAUAAGGAGGAAGUUGAGCUUAGGGGCUAAAAUUCUUUAAGUGGGUGGAGUGGAUAAAUUUUUUAUGCACUAUUUUAGUGUGAGAGAGUGUUGAAAGUUUCUCACUGUUAUCUUUCCACCACAUCUGGCCCUCUAGCUGGCCUCCUCUUCAUCUCCAAUGAAAAGGUUGCCUUUUGCAGUGACAGAUCAAUAAAAGUCUAUAAUCAGAAAGGUCAAAUGUGUAGGAUCCGCUAUAAGGUAAGCCGUGAACUAUAUAAAUACAUAAAGAAACCUCUUCAUAUAUCUCAGUUUCCCUCAUUCGAGAUUUUUUUAUGUAUAGGUCGCAAUUCCGCUGAAGAAGGUCAAGUGUGUGAGGCAAAGUCAAAAUGUUGAGAAGCCAACGCAGAAGUACAUAAAUAUAGUUACAGUGGAUAACUUCGAUUUCUGGCUUAUGGGUGUCUUAAAAUAUCAGAAAACUUUCAAAUAUCUCGAGCAGGCAAUUUCACAAGUUCACCAUUAGAGCAUAAUAACAUAGAUAGUUGAGGCUUGAAACAUUAAGAUACCACAUGAUUCAUUUCAUUCAUAUCAGCUUGGAUGCAGAUGGCUGUCAACAUAUUGUUGAUAAAGUUGUGGAUGAAGGGAGAUUUGUUUUUAUUGUAGAAACCAAGAUGGAGGGAAAUGUAAAUAGAAAGAAUGAAGAAAACUAUUAGUUUAAGUUCAAUUACUUAGUGGAUUUAUUAACUUCAAGUUUUAAGGAACUUUCAUAUUGUAUUCAGACCAUCCAAAUCUUCAAUGAAAUUUGUCUAUAAUUUUUCAAAUGUGAAUCUUUUUUAAUUAUUUAGUUUAGAUAACUUAACAUAGAGGAUCCAUAUAUGAAUACCAUAGGUAAAAUAAUUGGGAAUUAGUCUCUUAACUUUGUCAAUUUAACAAUUCUAACACCAUCUUUCUACCUUUCUAUGGUUUUCUCUGUUGAAGUUACUAACCUAGUUAAAAGAAGCAUAAAUAAAAUCCCUAAUCCUUAAACAAGAGUGGGUGAGAUUACCACUAGGCCUCCAUCAUGGACCUCAAGAAUCACUUGAGGCAGUUCCACCAAGGUUGUGUUAUGAGAAGGUUAGUUUGUUAGUUGGUACUAGAAAAAGCAGUAAAGUGAAUUGUGUUGUGGUCCACGCUCGGGGGUUCGGUAGUUAUAGCGCCUUUGGUGAAUAAGAUUUAGUUAUUAUAAUCAUAGGUGAUAGAAAAUAAUUUUUUCCUACAAAAAAUAACUCAUUUAACUAUUAAUUUAAGGAUUUGGUGUACCAAUACACUCAAAUUAUUGGGUGUACCAUAGAAUUUUUCUUUAAAUUAUACUUAUUAUAUAUACGUAUAUACACCACAUUUUAGUGUUGCUUUUUUCUCAACAAUUUACCCUUCGUUUAAACCUUUUUAUUUAUAAUUAUUAUUCUUUACUUAAUCAAAUAAUUGAAUUUAUUCCUAAUUUUAAAAUUGAAUCAAAUCAAAUUUGAUCAAGCACUAAUUUCAAUUUUAAAGCAAAUCUAAUACAAUUCUUAAAUCAAUCUUAACAAAUCAAGUAUAAAUUAAUUUUGUUUUAAAUUUAAACUAAAAAUAUUAUUCAAAAGAAAAGUGACACUAUAAGGAUAGUUUUGUGAAUAGUAAACUCAUUGUUAACCUAAAUAACAUUAUAAAAAAGGUUAGUAGUAGUACUAUUGUGAAUCUCAGUAGUGAGUCUCUCUAUAUGACGAACUACUGCGCUUCUUCUUCUUCUUCUUCUUCCUCCUCAACUCACGGCAAUCCACUUCACGCGCCGCCUCUGCCAACUCUUCCGUUCGAUCUGGUUGCAGAAAUCCUGUGUCUGCUCCCCGUGAAACAUCUCAUUAAACUCCGCCGUGUCUGUAAGUCAUGGAAUUCUCUUAUCUCCCAUGAUUCUAAAUUCGCUAAAAAACACUUUCGCUUGUCAACCUCUAACCACGAUCGCCACCACCUCACCCUAACCCCUACGCGGAUCUCACAUGAGUUCGUUUUAUCUGAUUUACCAUUGUCUACUAUUUUCAGCAGAGAAGAAUUUGUGUCCACUCCUAGAGUCACGCCAAUAAGGUAUCCCCCUUUUCCAAAUAAUAUAGGAUACAAUUAUUGUGGGAGACCUUCUACGUGUCACGGCAUCUUCUGUUUUGGUAUUAAUGAGUCUUUUGCUGUUUUAUGUAACCCUUCUAUUGGAAAAUCAAAGAUACUGCCUCCUUUGGAAUUGGAAACCAGAACAAAUUUAAAAACAUUUUAUACUUUAGUUUAUGAUCGUUUCACUGAUAAUCAUAAGAUUAUUGCUCUUUCCAAGUGCCCCGGUUACCAAGAAGUUAACGUUCAUACUUUGGGUACCUAUAAUUGGAAAAGGAUCCAAAACAUCCCAUCUCAAUGUAUCUUGUUUGAGCCAGGAAUAUUUGUCUGUGACACUGUUAAUUGGUUGGCUUAUGAUACUUGUAGUUAUUUAUGGCUCAUUGUUUCUUUUCAUUUGGAGAAGGAUUCAUGUCGAACUCUUUUACAGCCUCUCCAUGACAAUCUAUUCAGCCCAAAGAGGGUCUUGGGAGAGUUGAGGGGUUGUUUGUCCAUCCUUUCCCAUCCUUCUAAGUUUUAUGAUGUUUGGAUUAUGAAGGAAUAUGGAAAUGAACAAUCUUGGAAUAAAUUAUUAAGUGUUCCUAAAAUGGGUGGAUAUCCUUGUUUUAGAGGUGCCUAUACCAAGAUACUAUAUAUUUCAGAAGAUGACCAAGUGUUGUUGCAGUUUAUGAAGAUACGAGAAUAUGGUUUGGUUGUUUAUGAUCCAAGAAAUUAUACUUUUAAGACUUUGGAAAUUCAAAAUAUCAGCGGUUGGAUGGAACCAAACAUUUAUGUUGAGAGUUUGAUAUCACCUUUGUCAUAGUAUUAGGACGUAGUAGGUGUUGUGCCAAGUGACAUGAGCUGCUACCUAUGUGUUCAUUUUUAUAGUAUUUAUAUUUAUUUUAUCCUUGUUUUGGUUACUACUGACUUCAUGGUUAUUUUCAUUUUUUUGUUAAAUAGAGUUGUAGCUGCAACCUCUAUAUGUUAUUUUUAUGAUUGAUUAUUUUUAUUCAUGCAUCUUAGUAGAUUAUUGUUAUUUUAUGGGCUACGAAAUUUACAGCUUGUGAAAUUGCUAUGUUACUUUAAUUUAUUUGUUAGCUAGAAUUGUUGGGUCUAUCAUCAUGUGUUUUAUAUUGUUCACAACCACAGAUCAUCAUUAUCAUUAGUAUUUUGCUUCAAAUAUCGCACCAUAGAUUAUGAAUUGAACAAAUCAAAUUUUUAUCACAUGACCAAUAUAUAGCAUUUACUUCAAAACAACAACACUAUAAUAAUCAUUAUAACAUAAAUAUAUUCACACAUAUACGUACAGAAGCACGUGGAGUGAUGCCUUUACCUUUGCAAUAGUAGCUCUUACAGUUCUCAUACAACCGUCUUUGUUCCACUAUCUCUAUACCUUCACAAUUAAAUAAACACUAACUUAGAGUAACUACUAACCAUCAUUAUUCCUAUGCAAGUAUUGGGGGUUUGGCGGAGGGUUCUUAACACAAAGUAUUUCACUAACACAAAGUAUUUCACUCAACAUUUAAACUUCAUAUUCCAAUGAUGUCUACAAGAUGAUAGUCUUUUGAGAAAUCAAUGUAUGUUGCUGCCAGCAAAAGAAAAUGAACGAAAUUCGCUAAAUUUUAUGUUUUUUCUCAAAGAUUCACUUCCACACACUAUAAUUAAAAUUAACUAAUAAAUAAAUCUCAAUACUUACAUUAUGAUCAAGACCCUUAAAUCACAAACAUUAUUUUGGCUGUUUCAAAAGAUUUAUUUAUUUUUCCUAUAAGGAACCUCUAAUUCUCAAAUGACCCCAAAUAGCCUAUAAAGUUGUGAACUAUUGUCACCCAAUUUCCACUGUACAAGAGUUUAGAUUUAGAAUCAUGUGUUAGCCUUUACGAUGUAAACCAAGGUAGACCAUUUAUUAAAAAUGAACAAAAGAUUGUACUCUAAUUCUAGUUUAUUGCUUUCUGAAAAUAUUACUCAACUUUGUAACAACAAAAAUGUCAAACAGGUCCUUUUAUUUUCAAAGGUUCAGGCCAAGUUUUCUUUUAAACUAAUAUCUUGACUUACUCUUUCAAUAAAACAUAUUUAACUUAAUCAAGGUUACAAGAAGUCAAUUCUACACAUUUAUUAAAAUUAUAUAAGUGUAUGACAUGUUUAUAAAAUUUCAGAUUCCAUAAGAAAAUUAGAGAACCGUCGAACAUAAUUUUAUUUUAAAUUGUGAACAUACUUUUAGAACUACGAAAAAUAUGAGGGAUAAUUUUGAUUCUUCACUAAUAAUAAAAUGGAUUAAGGAAUAAUAAUGGGAUUCUUACUUGUCUUUCUAGAGUGAAUGUUUGAUCUCUCCUUCUUCUUUCGGACUCCCUUUUCCGUCAUUUUUCCCUCUCUCUAAGUAUGUUCUAUUUUGUUUUCAAAGUAUAGAAUGGUUGUGGGUGAAAAAGAAUAGGAACCGGUUAUUAUUAUAAUAACACUGUCACUAACUUAUUUCCUAAAAAUAUGGAACAUAGUGGAAAAUGGGAUUGGGAAGAAACGUAUGUUUAUUUCUAUGUCACUAACUUUCUUGCUAAUCUUAUUAUAUAUUACUUUAAUAAAUAAUUUUUUUUAAGGAUACUCUAAUAAAAAUACUAGCUAGUAAUAUCUAGUGGCACAUAUUUUUCAACUAAUGUGAUUAAAAUAAAUAAAACAAGACAUCAUAUACAGAGAGAGAUAAAUCAACUCUCGACAACCAAUUAAAGUAUCAAGAAUUACCUAUUAAGAUAUAUAUUUUUGGAUAAACAUUUUUAUACAUUAUAAAUAAGUAGAAUAGAAUAUUGAAGACAUAGAAAUAUCAUCCCUCGCUUAAUUAAUAUCAUAAGAUGAUAAAAUUAAUUUGUAGUUUAUAAGGUUAAAAGUAAUAAAUAUAUAAGUAUUAAUAUAUAGUAUAUACUAGAUGAAAAAUCUGAAUGUUACAUGUCUCAACUCACAAAAGACAUUAGCGAAGUCCUCAAUAGUAGUAACACAUAACUACGUACCCUUCAAAAAAUAACUACCUGAAUAUUGAGCUGGAUAAAUAAUUCCUAAAUAGCAUCACAUAAAAUCAUUCACGCAUAUACACGUGCGUCUCUGGAGCACAAACACGUUUAGGUAGUAACGAAAUCAACCAAAUAACGACAAUUGAUUUAUCAACAAACUAAAAUGAACAAUGAAAAUAGAGAGAGUAAGGAACUAAUUACAUCCAUAUGCUUGGUUUCGAGUUAUCAAAAUAAAGCACAAACGUGUUCAAGUAGUAGCUAAAAAUCAACCAAAAUAGUUUUGACGCAUAUAAACGUGCGUCUCUCGAGCACAAACGCGUUCAAGAAGUAACUGAAGAAGCAAAUAAGAGACACAAACAAACAACAAGGUUUUCCAGAACAGAACUUAUCCAUAGAAAAUAAAAUGCCAACGUCCACAUGAGCUCGAAACCUUGGAGUAAAUGUUCACUUGAGUUGCUUGAGUAAAAUGUUAUAGUUCCUCUACACUUGCAACCUCAAAUCAAGCAGCAUGAGCUGCCCUACCUAGAGCUCCAUAAGCUAUAGCUUGACCUUGAGCUGCAAUAGCAUCAGCAUGAGCCUGAAGAAAGGACAUAAACAAAUUAAUUAUGCGUAUAUUUGAUUAACGUUAAUUUAUAUGUUUUCUAUUUUUUGAUUAAAUUUUAUUUGGUAUUUUUAUUUUGAUAAUAAAAAUAAGGAACUGAUACACACCACUAACAUAAACACACCUACCUACAUGUGGACACAGAGGAACAAUAACUAGCACAAAAAAACCAGAAUCUAAAACGCAGACAUCACCAUUGCCUUCCCUAGUAAAACACACCUUCUAGUUGUGGAAGUAAAUGUGUAGGGAUACAUAUUGUAAAGUUUCUGUUUUGUAGGUUAAAAUGAAACAAGAACCAUGCAUAAUAAGAGCAAAAACCAUAACAGAGUAAAUUGAAAAUGCACACAAAAACAAGAACAUAUCAAGAACACAAAAACCAUAAAACAAGAACCAUGCAUAAGCAAAAACUUGUUACCUGAAUCACGUUGCCAGCAAUAACAGAAACCACGAAAGGUCUAGCCGUUGCCAUCGUGAUUUGUUCAUAAGUGAGGUUAACGCCAUCCCAAACCUGUGGCUGCUGGUUAACUAAAACAUAACCUUGAACAUUCAAGUGUCUAUCCAUAAUAACUGGAACCGUAUCAUGGCGAUGUUCCGGCGUGAAGUAGUCGCGGAGGUAAGUGAUUCUAGAUCUAAGUUCCAAACCAUGGCGAGAUUCCAUAAGACUCGCUGCAAUUUAUUCAGGUCUAUCGAGACAAACAAAUUCACACAAGUCGGUGUUUAACAAUGUACGCAACGCUGUAGGAACACUUUCCAUAAGAGCAAGUUGAAUCAUUAAAACAUUGUUUCCGCAACAAACUUGCAAAGUGGCCGCUGCAUUUGAGUCCGCAUUCAGCUGCACCGCGAUGCCCAGCAUCGCUAGCUCUUUCAUCCUCACCAAGCUCGUUGGACACCCUCUCUAAAGUGUGCUCUAUCCAUUGUUGAACAGCAAAAAACUCAGAAGUUAAAGUAACAGUGAAUGCCACCGUCUCAGCGCUCAUCUCAAAAUUAGUGCCAUAUCCAUUAGGUAAAAGCGUAGAAUCAGUAACCAUGGAUGUAUAUGGUACAGGGACCAGGGUUCAUUUUGUUGUUCACUUUUCACUUUCUACUUUGUUUCCAAAGAAUAUGAUGAGACUGUUGUAUUCUCUCUCUCACUCUUGACAGUUAUACUCUUUCUCUUUCUCUCUCUCUCGACAGUUAUACUCUUUCUCUCUCUAAUCUGUUAGAAGUAAAGAGCAACUCCAACGGAGUUAUUUCAAGGAUGUCCGCCAGCAUGGAGUUGUAAAAAGUUGGUUAUUUUGCAAGUAUGACCAUUGGAGUCCGCCAGCAUGGAAUAAUCGUUCCCUUCUGAAGCAACAAUGCACAUGGGUUACUUUGAUUAAAAAACUAAUAUUAAUGCUACCUAUUAUUUUGUUUUCUUUUUUGCCUUGAACUUACUUAAUAAGAGUGGUGAUACAUGUACAUCCAUAGGUGGCAUACACACUUAAACCUUCACAUAAACAUGUGACACGUGCUCUAGACCCCACAAACACUUUGUCUCUCUUCUCUUUCAUGCAUCUCUCUCCUCUAGAAUAUGUGGGGUGUAUGAGUGGUAUGGAAAUAUGAGUGGUCUACCAAUCAUUUUCCCUUAAAAUAUGGGAACUUCUACGGUACACUCAUAAGAUGAGGUGUAUCGGUACUCUUGCAUCUUAAUUUUAUAAAUUAAUGAUCAUUUUUUAUGUAGUAAAUAACUAUUUAUCAAUAUUUAUAUUUUAUAGAACAACAUUUCAUAAGAAAAAACAUCAUUUAAUGUUUAUAAGAAUCAUAGUAACUUUUUUUUACAUAUUAUCGUAAAAAAUAAUAAUAAAUGUUCUCAAUUAUGAGUGAUAAAAAUUAAAAAAAUAAUAAUUUUAUUUCGUUGACACUUUUGAUGAAUCAGAUUUAGUUAUUAUAAUUAUAAAUGAUAAAAAAAUAAUAUUUUUCUUCAAAAAACAACUCAUUUAACUAUUAAUUUAAAGAAUGGGUGUACCGGUACACUCAAAUAUAUUGGAUGUACCAUAGAAUUUGCCAAAUAAUAUAUGUUACGUACCAAUUAAGAGCAGUGUAAACAUGUAGCAUAUAUUAAUUUAUUUUACUAUUUUUUAUAAUUGAAAAUUUCUUUACCUAUUAAGUUUAAUUUUAUUUUUAAAUAUUUUUAUACAAAUAUUAAUUAACAAUACUCAAAUUAAUAUAUUAAGUUGUGUUAUAAUUAAAUAGGAAUAAAAUAUUAAUUAAUAUGUGAGGUAAAGUUGCGGGAUCCAAUAAAAGUUCUUUAGGGUUCACCAUUAAAAUUAAAAAUGAGUAAGUUACUUCAAGAUGAUGUGUUAUAAUAGGACUAAUAAAAUAACAAUUUCCAAAGAUCACUCAUCAAGCUUUUCAUAUUCACACCCAAGAAUAAACUAUAGUAGGGUAGGGCUGGACAAAUACCCGCAGCCCGAGGAAAUCCGCCCAACCCGAGUCCAAAAAGAGAAAAACGGGCGGUUCUAUACGGGUCUGCGGGUCCAACAGAACAAAUUUCAGGCUAGAAUGGGUUAAGACGGGCGGGCCCGGGUGGGAAAAUUGGACCCCUCGGUGUCCGAACCCGCCCGAAUUACAAGACAUACAGUUAAAUAUUGUGUGUUAUGAGUGCAUCUGACGCCUCGUGUACAUCAAUCAGACUACUCAAUAGCCUAUUGCUGCAUCUUUCUAGACUUACCUUUAUCACUAUUCAGUAACAUUAUUAUUAUUAUUUAUUAUAAUUGAAUACAAUUGUUUAACUCAUCAAAGACAUGUGACUUUCUUUCUCUUUCUUCCUUAAUCUUAUUUUUCAUUUUUACAGUAUGGUAUGUGCUGCCAUUGUUACACACUUGCACAAAUCUGGAGAAUUUUCUUAAGCUCAUGCACACCAUUUUUCUAUUCUGUUAAGAACCGUGUUACCCGACCCGCUCACCCGUGACCCGUACGAACCCAACCCGUAAAAACCGAAUCUGAAAAUUAGGCAGAAAAGGGUCACAUUUCUUCACCCGCGGGUUGGCUUGGGUCGAGCUCUUGGGCCCGAACCCGCCCGAACCCGCCCGAUGCCCACCCCUAUAGUAGGGGGAUAUAAUUACUGACAUGCACCAAUUUAACUUGCACGUGACUAAAUUAGGUAUUUUUAUUGUGAGAUAAAAAUAGUGUGGGACCAAAUGAGUUUUUAAUUACAAAAACACUAAAUUAUGUUUUUAUCCAUGCAAUAUAGAAUAAAAUAUUGUGUGGGACCAAAUGAGUUUUUAAUUAUAAAAACACUAAAUUAUGUUUUUAUCCAUGCAAUAUAGAUUUUGUAAAAAAUAAAAAAACCAAUGAGGUAAAGGAAUUUUUAUUUUGAUCUCUAUUUUAGGUAUAUAAUUUUUUUACACCUAAAACAAGGGAUUGAAUAACUUUUUUCUUUACUAAAUCAAGAUACAACUUUUUGUCCAUAAUACAAAGUAUCAAAAACAACAAAAUAUCAUUUUUAUUAACCAGCAUAGAAUAAAAAAUAUCAUCACUCAAUCUCUCUCAGAGUUUUGUUUUAUCAUAUACUUAUCUAUCUCGUCUAAUACUUAUCGUUUUACGAAUAAAGCAUGUCUUCGAUAUCCAACUCAAUUUAUUAAAUAUUUAUCUUACCUGUUAAAAAUUAAAAUUCUAAUAAACCUAGAAAAAGAAAAUCACACCCCAAUCAAACUCUUAUCAUCUGCAUUAAACUAAAACAAAAUUACACUAUCAAAAAAAAAAAACUAAAACAAAAUUUUAAAAAGGAGAAAACUUAGGUACAAUUCCUUAGGUGAUUUUCGUAUGGUUUUUAACUAAAUUCACCAUGAUUUCCUCAAUUCCAUAAUUUUCUCAAAGUAUGUUAUAUCUAAAAAAUGUGUUUUUAGUUAAGAACCAUACGAAAAGCAUUUAAGGAAUUGUACCUAAGUUUUCUCCUUUCGAAAAUUCAAAACUAAUUAACCAUUUUUUUCGGACAAACAAUAUUUUAUGGGUGAUGAUCUAGACCUCAAAACUUCUCUCUCCCCCCUUUUCUUAUUUCAAACCCUACCAUCAUAAAAUUAAUUUGUCUCAAAUCUCAAACCUUCUCAUUCCUUAAACUCAUUCUCCUCUCCCCCCUCACAUAUGUAGCCAUCAUCUUCCUCGUACAUGAUUCAUGGGGCCAGGAACUUUGGAGAGAAGGUUUGAUGUCUCGAUCCUUAACUCAAAAAAACAAAAAGUUGGUUGAAGAAUGAUUUAUGAGUUCAGAAUUUGUGGAUUUUUUAUUUUGUUUCAAGAAGAUGAUAAGAGUUUUGUUGGAAUGAUUUUUUAUUGUGAGAGAAAAAUAUGAUAAACAAGAAAAAAAGUUGUGAAAAAUAACAGCUGUAAUAGAAAUUUUUUAUUGGGUUUUGUCUUAAAAAAAAAAAGGACUCCAUGGACGGCAAUGAUUUCUUGAAGCACAAACCAUCUUGCGGGAUUUAGUCUUUCCACAAAAGAUUGAUCAAUUAUAAACAGAUGCACAUGAUUCAUUUCAUUCAUAUCGGCACGGAUGCAGACAUGGCUUUCAACAUAUUGUUGAUAAAGUAGUAGAUGCAAGAAAUCAUUUGGCUUGUGCAUUGUUAGAUGAAGGGAUAUUGUUGUUAUAGUAGAAACCAAGAUGGAAGAAAAUAUGUUAAUAGAGAGAAUGAAGAAAACUAUUAGGUGCAGGUUUAAGUUUAAGUUCAAUUACUUGGUGUAUUUAUUAACUGCAAGUUUUAAGGAACUUUCAAAUUGUAUUCAGACCAUCCAACUCUUCAAUCAAAUUUGUCUAUAAUUUUUCAAAUAUGAAUCUUUUUCAAUUAUUUAGUUUAAAUAACUUAACAUAGAGGAUCCACUAUAGAAGGUCAGCUUCCAAUAUGUAUACUUUCCACCAGAUUUUGGGGAAUCAGAUAAAAAUAUAGCACUUGACAAUCCCGUAUCUUGCACCCAACAAUUUGCAUUUAAGAGUGCGAAAGGCUCGCCUUCUUGAACUAGAAUCUUCGGUCAAUUUCCAUGAUUCCAUCCUGACAAAGCCUUCACGAAAGUUCCUUCCCAGUUAAGGAUAUAGCUCUGGUCGAUUUCCAUUCUCUGCAUAGUUCUGAACUGCCCUUCCACUCUUCCCGCAUGGUCUGUACUAAAUCGAAAAUACCUUCUUUUGAUUCCAUAUGUAUCAUUACAAUUCAACCAUAUCCCCCAGACCAACCUGAAAACACGACUGACAACGUCUUCUGUUUCGCACGCACAAACAUCCAUCAAUACUGCUCCCACAGAAUUAAAUCGUUGAACCCGGGAGUGACAAAUGGAAAUUAAUCCUGCAGUAUGCCAACAAUCAACAUUUGAUGAGCAUUGAAAAAAAAAUAUGCCAAUCAUUUUCUUCAUGAUCAACACACAUCUACAGUGAACAAGACAGGGCACCUGCCUCUCCUGAAACCUUACCAUCGACGGUAAACAACUUCGACAUAUUCACCAAAUUAAAUUAUAUACUUUCGGAGGCCCUCUUGCUCACCAAAUACUGUACCAAUCCCUUGAACAAAUCGUCUCUCUGCAUUCAACAACAUCCUCAUGCCAGUCUAUAUCCCGAACGAAUACUAUUGAAAUUAGGUAGGGUAAAGGUCCAAAUUACUCGUCGUUACGAAUAAAAUGCAUAAACCUAUUUGUAUUUUCAAGUUUAUCAUAACUAAGUUAUUAUUCUAGGAUUUAAGGAGAUAAUGACUACCAAUAUGUCGUUGGUUCAAAUGGUAAGGAAUUAGUUAAUGGUCAUGAGCUUGAGAUAUGAGCUUGAUAAUUUUGAACCUUCAUCUAUAUUAGCAACUUACAUACAUACAUGUAAUGUAACAAUGAGAUGUCAAAUUUAGAGCAAUGAUAAUUAAACAAAUAGCAAUAAAGAAGAUUUGUAAGUAAUAAUAACAGAACAUUCAAUUUUUAACCCAGAAAUAUAUAAUAAGCGCCAAGCUAUUUGUUCGACUUAAAAACCAAGAAAAGAAAUUCUUGUAAAUUCAAAAAUCCAUAAAACGACUGAAAAUAAAGGCUAGAAAAAAGAUAACAAAGUUCAACAAUCUUAUACUAAGAAUCUAGCCUGAAAGUAUAAAGUGUUAUGCACUACUUCCUUCCAUUCAUGAACAUAUGAGCUUGCAGAAUAUCCUUAGCAUUGAAUCCAUUAAGUUGAAAUCCAUGUGGUAGGUUUGAGAGAUUCUGAAAAGGAAGAGUGUGCAUAGUAAUAGGAUAUGAUUGCAUUGUCAUUGCAUUUCCAUUGUAAUCCUUUUCAGCUCCAUCCUUCCUUUCCAUAUUGAUUUUGGGAAGCCCGAAGCAUCGGUCCUGAUAACCCCCAUUGUAGGUAACAUUAGCAUUAACCUGAUUGGACCAAUUAGCCCCAUUAACAUCAAUAUGCUUGUAGGGGUAAGAUUGCACAUAUCUACCCUCCUCAGACUCCACCCGGUGCGAGCUUUGUAUAUUGGAAAUCAAAGAAGAAGGUUGAGAGCUUUGUCCCGAUUGAAGUGGCCAAAACCCUAAGGGGUUUUUAUCACUAAUAUUCAUCAUUGGAGGAUAAGUUUGUGCUUGAGACAUGGAAUUUUGCAUGAGAUUGAAGUAGUAACUUGGAUUUGGGGUCAAGGAAGGAGUACUGAUAAGUUUAUCUACCUUGUGUGAUUCAUGAGCUAUUGUUUUUCCCUUAAGAUCUUCUUUUAGCAUAUGCUUCUUUUGAUUACAAGCAUCAAGCUUAGCUUCCAGUUUGCUUGCAAAUAAUAUCAAUUGUUCCGCUCCAAGAGAAUUGAAAGAUUCAUUCCAAGUUGGAUACAUCAUCUUUAACUUCUCUUUACGCACUUUGGUAAUCUCGAAUUCAAGUUUUCUAAUUCUUUCCUUAAAAUACUCUUGAACAUCAUAGAUCUUAGGACGCCUAUCACUUGUUGUGUUAUAGUACUUUUGAAGGAUUCUUUCUACCGCUCUUUUGUCCUUAGGCCAUGUUUCAGGUUCAGCAAAUCCUCGACCUACAAAAUUGGGAGCAUAGAGAACUACACAAACAUCAACAUCACAAAGAAUGGAAAAUUCAUUCACUUUUUUCAUUAAUCCAUCCUUUCUCUUUUGAAAUGUUGACUUCCGUGAUUUCUCCUUUUGAAUGAGUUCCAUAGAUAUUCUUCCACGACCCAUUUCCUACGAAUAAAAAAUACAGUCAUGCAAUUAUACCACCAUAGUACAGUAUACUUGGUCAAAAAACACAGUAUAGUAUAUCUAGCAAAUAAUAUAAUUUUAAUGAAAAGCUAAAUAAAAAUUUGCAAUUAUAUGAAGAUAAUUACCCAAAAAAGUGAACGUAGUCAAAAUCAAAUGGAAGCAAGAAAAUAGUAACUUAGCAUGCAUGUAAGGAUGCUUUAAACAAAAAUAUAAAAAGUAGGUAUUCGAUCUUUACGACUAACAAAGUCUUCAUUCUCUAACAUCCUAAUUCACCACUAAUUAACAUUUUGCUUAUAAUAAAUUAGGGUUUGUCAACAUCUAAGAUGCACGGUAACGCAUUGAAAUAACAGAAUAUAAUAUAAAAUCACUUUAAAGAACUAACAAAAUGCAAAAUAACGUGAAAUAGCUCCUAGAUUAUGUUGGCCCCGUAGUACUUGCCACAAAAUUAAUAAAUUCAAUUAACCAAAAAACGUAAAUACAUAAAUAAUGUUUCUUUUUUUGAGGGGAAAUAAUGUUUCUUUUAUUUAUUAUAUUUAAUAUUUAAUAGUGAUAUAUACAUGAAAAAGUCACAAAUUUCAAUGCCAAUGAAUAUUGAAGGAAUAAUUCAGAAAUGCAACAGCUGAGAAAAAGUUUAUAAUCAAAUUGAUGAAGCAACAAAUCUUUCCCUUUUUAAAUCUUUCUUUUAAAUGAUUCUUUUAAAUUAUUAUAAUCACCGAUUAAAUAAUUUGAUUGCAUAUGAAAAUACCUUUGAUCGAUUCAAAUCUUCGAACCGGAGAUUUUUUACCAUAUGAAAAUACCUUUUAAUAAUAUGUCUUAUUCCACAAAACCGGAGUCUUUUUUUUUUUUUAAACAAACCGGAUAUAAAUAUUAAGUACAAUUUUAAUAAUAUGUCGUAAUCUACAAAAUCGGAGAAAAAUAUUGAGUAUAAUCUUAAUAUUAUGUCCUAAUCUACAAAAGCAGAGAGAAAUAUAUUGAAAUCUUGAGUAAGAAAUUUUACUUUUAGUUUUUAUAAAUAUCUACAUCGAUCAUUAAAAUAAAUAAAAAAUCACUUUUCGAUUUUUCAAUAAAUCUAAAAAGUGAAUCUUUACUACUUGAUAGAAGGGAGUACCCCUAAAAUUAUACGAGUACACACCAUAUAAGAACUUAUGUAUCCUAAACUAGAUAGCCUCAGAAAUAUUGAGGCUCAAACAAAGAGGUUGAGCGCUCCAUUCAUAAGAUCAAAAGAAAAUCAAAGACUUUAGAUUUAAUCCAAAACCAUGAAGAUUUUUUUUUAAUCAUCGUGUUGAUUUUAAUUGAACCUUUGAAAAAAGUUUUAUAAUCCUUCAAAAUAAAUAUAUUUUUAUCAUCGUGAUGAUUUUAAUUAAAUCUUUGAAAAAAGUUUUAUAAUCCUUUAAAAUAAAAAUAUAAUGGAACUACUGAACAAUCUUAUAUUAAACCUUGUAAAACAGUUUUAUUAAUCAAACAAGUCUUUUAGUCUUAAUUCUUUUAAAACUAAAAAUAAUUUUUCAAAAUACAAAUCAAAUGCAUACCCUAUCGACCUAAUCAGGAAUCAUCAAAAACUGUUAUAGAAGCUUUUGGGAAAAGAGAAACAAAACUAAAGAUGAACCACUAAAUAACAUAUAUGAUUCCAUCCCUUACCCCUUGAACAAAAUAAACACAAAACCAAAAGUAUAAAAACCACUAAAUAAGAAAAUAAGAAGGAAAGGAAAGACAAACUAACCUUUUUUUCUUGCCUCCCACACCUGUUGCUAAAUUCCUCCAAUUAUGAAUUAUGCAAUUUCUCCGGUGAAUAUUUUACUAUAUAAAGAAAAUUAAUGUGUCAAAAAAGGAAAGAAAAUUAAGACCUAUUUUUGCGUACAAAAAAUUAAACUUUUCAAUCAAAUUUAAAUGGAGGUGGAUUCUUUCCCGAUUUGCAAUUGGAGGUAUUCGAUAUUUUGUUUUCAUGGACUCAAUAAUUAAUUUUUUUUUUGGGUAACAAUGGAUUCAAUUUAUUAAUGUCUAAUAAUUCAAUUCAAUCAUGGGAUUGUUAACGGAACCGUGUGAUGAUGACAUAGCAAACUAUUGUUUCGCCUUUUACUAAAGAAUAGCGUAUCAACGUCACAUUUUGCGGCAUAUGCUAGUUUUUGGAAGAGUCAUCUUUUUGGAGGGCUCUGCUUUAAAAAAAAAAAUUCAUGGAAUUGUUGGUGUGGUUAGACAAAUUGUUUCCAUCACUCAAGGAAGUAGGAAUCUUGAUUCGUCUUAGGUAGAACUCAAUACAAUUUAACGUGGUCUAAUAUAAAUCGAUUUUUGGAUAUCAAAAAUUACAAUCAUAAAAUGUAAAGUAAUAAGUGUGGUUGAUGUAAAAUAUACCAACAUAUGAUAGCCUAAAAAAAAUAUACUAACAUGUAUUAUUAAAAAAAAUACAAACCAAAAAAAAAAAAAUAGUGUACUAUAUAAUGCUAACAAAAAAAGAAUAAAUUCAUUCUAAAGAACUCGAAUUCAAUUCUUAGUGGAAACAAUUUUUAGACAAAAUUUACCUACCUCAUUGAUAUGAAGAUUUUAAUAGAUAUAAUAAUGAUUUUUUUUUUUUACAAAAUUAUAUUAUAUAUAAAAAGGGAAAAUUACACUUACCUCCAUGAGAUCUCUUUAAAUGGCACAAACACCCCCUCUAGUUUUAAAAUAUAUACUAACCUCCCCUAAGUUCUUAUUAAAUAGACAAAGACAUCCCUUCUUCAUUAACACUGUUAGUUUCUCUGUUAAAAAACAAAACAAAAGACUUAACAUUUUUGUAAAAGCAAAAUUUCAAUUUCCAGAAUGCUGCUGCUAUAAACCAACCAAAAGCAUGUCAUUCAUAAUUUGGCUGUCGAAAUACUUCUCCAGUCCAGAUCCACUCAUAACUUAGCCCUUGUUUUUCAUUCUCUCUCCACAACUGGACAAAAUUUCUUUAAACUAAGAUUUUUAAACACAAGAGUUGAAGUCGAAUUAAGUGAAUAGAUAUUAUUUGGACUUAGGCUGCAGUUUGAGUGAUUAAUUUGGCUUUCUGCUAUGACAAUCACAAAUUUUUCCAUGAUUUAUUAUAGUAGUUGCAACAUUUCUUUCUAGCAAUACAUGCUAAUUGGAGCUUCGUGAGAAUUAAAGGGAUGAGAUAGGGAUGGAUUGGAGUAAUUUUCCUGUACAGUCUAGAGACAUAAGUCCCUCUUGAUACACAACGAGACCGACGUAGAAAGCAAACACGACGAAGCAAACAAAAAGAUGAGUGACUACAUAUGAUCAGGAAGAGAAAUUCUUGCAACAAAGUGCUUCAGAUUUGAGCAUGUAUUAUGAAAGUGGAAACAAAUAAGGGGAGGUUUUUGAUGUUUAGAAAAAUAGAGGAGAGGUUAGUUGUAUUUAGAUAGAACUGAGGGGAGGUUGUUAUAAUUUUCCCAUAUAAAGAUGAUAUAAAGUUUGAAGUUCGUUCAUGAAAAGAAAUUAUAGAGGAUUUUUUACAAGAGAAAAAAUAAAGGAUGUUACCUAAGAUUAAAUUACGAUACGCCAAGAGGCCAUUUUUGCCUUCAAUACAUAUCUUUCCCAUAAAAACAAAAUUAAUUUCUCUUUUUAAUAAUUCCAUCAAUGACUAUUAAUCUUCUUUUUUGAGGGAAGGAUAUAUUAAUUUUCUUCUCAAAGUUAGUUUCACGCUAAAUAAUACUCUCUCCGGUCUUAAUUAUCUUCUAAGUUCAUUUAGUCAAUAAUGUAUCAGGUAUAUAUAUUAUAGACCACAUACAUUAUGGAUUGAAUGAACUUAAAAAAUAAAAAUUUACUUAAUUGACACCUGACAAAAUACUUUUUUUUAAUAGACAAGUUUGGCUAAGAUGCAUUUUUUUUUUAAUUAUAGAUUCAAAGGACUAAGAAGCGUAUUCAAAUGAAGAGCUGUGUUAUUUGAAUAUUUAAAAGUUGACGAUGUAUUUAACAUUGUAUAAAACUACAUCGUAUAAAAAUUCUUAAUAACCCCCAUUUUCCAAAAUAGAUCAUCUAAGAUAUGAUCUCCAAAGGGAUGGCCAAGAACAAGUUAUAUCUGCUCCCUUCGUCCCAAAUUAGAAGACAUUUUAAACAUUUGACAUGUAUUAAGAAAUAUAAUUAGUUUUGUAGAUAUUAUGAAUUAUUUUACAAAAUUAUCCUUAAUAAAUGGUAUGAGAAAAAGAAAAUAAAAAAUUGAAUUAAAAAAAAAACAAUAAUAAUAAUUAGUUAAAGAUAUAAUGAAAAAAUAACAUUAAUGUGUUUUAUAUCGUAGAUUAAUGCUUCAUUUUUAUUGUAACUUGGAACGGAGUGAGUAUAAAAGGAGCCAUAUAUCUCGAACAUAAAUUACACCAACUUACAUAUCACUGAAUUUAUUGCAUUUGAUAAUUAUAAUUAUGUGCAUUAACCAUCAUCAGCAUAUUAACAUUGCAAUGGAAAGAGUCUUGGACAUGUUUCAAGGUCCGUGGAAAAAGGAGAUUGACAAAUCAUUCCCACUCACCUAUGAAAUUUAAAUGAAACUUUUUCCGGUCAUGAAAUUGCCCAAUUGAUUCCGAAGACAAGACUAGACUUACGGUGGCUUCAGUUAACAAAACUUAAGUUUAAAUUUAUCAAAUAUAAUCACAUCAUAUUAUGAUUGUAACUAACUACUACUAAAAUAAACAAAAUAAUGAUAUUUAAUGAAAUGACUAGCAUUUCAGUCACAUAGGAUAAACUUGGCCAUCAUUUUAGUUAAAUUUCCUUUUACAUUAAGAAACCAGUAGGAUUCUUGCUUUCUAGAAGCAUGCAUGCAUGACAGAGAAGAGAGAACAGACACAAGGUUAUAUCCUAAAUGAAUCAAAUGUCCCUAUUAUGAAUAAUCUGUUUGAUAAUGAAUCAUUGAUACAAGUGAUGAGUUGCACCAUAAUCAUAGCUAUAUCUAACAUAAAGCAUGAUUAAUGCUUACAGCACAAGUAUCUACCUUCUCUAAGUUCUAAUAUAUCAAUGAGAGCUGGCACUAACUAAUUAACAACCAUCAACUUAGCUAUGAACUAAAGUUUAACUAGUUUGAAGUAUGUUCUUCAUUUCGUGUGCUCGUAAUAGUCUCCACUAAAUCACCCCCUACAAGAAAAUCUGACGACACAUAACUUCAGGCCUUUUACUUUUCAUGAAUAUAAUUGUAUUAAAAUGAGUGUACUCAACUUUUUCAUCAAAUACAUGUUCUCUUACAUCCUUUUUAUAAUUAAUUCUAAUCGUAAUUGAAAUCUCAUCAAUUUUAAAUAAAUUCUACGUAGAUUUGAUUCAAAGAGUUAGAUGGUAUAGAAAAGUGAAAAGCGAUUUCUGCUGUGGUUCCUGAUAACUUUUGCAUAAUAAGCAAUUGAGCCUAAUUUUGUUUUAACAAUUGAGUUGUCAAUCUUAUAAAACAGUGACACUCGAUGUGCACGGAUGCAUAUUUUUUUUAUAUGUAUUGAAAAGGUUAGUUGAGUUGGGUUUCAAGGGGCUCACGAGGGUUAGGACAUGCCUCAAGGUUCGAAGAACAUUUACAAAGAUACUUACAAAUGAUCCAUUAAAGAGGUCAUUCGCAGAAAGCGAGAGUUGGAUCCACAACCUUGCGGGUAAGUCAACUCCUUGCGAGCUGAGUCAACUUUCAUUAGUCACGAUACAUCAUUAAAUACUAAAUAGAAGUUGUGACAUAUAUACUCUAUAUACUAAUACGAAAUCAUAUAUAUGCACAUGACAUAGAGUUAGAGCCAUAUAGAACACACCAAAAAGUAAAUGAAGGUGAAUGAAGAUGUCAAAUUUGUGAAAGUUUACUGCAGUAAAAAAAAAUGCUUAUGAGAUUUCUUAAUAGGGUCUUAUUAUGGCUGGUAAAUAGUUAGUAAACAAAAUCAAACAUAUAUAAGCAAGCAUACAAGUGGUGAUUAAUUAAUGGCUCAAAAGGUACAGUAGACCAAACAAACACGUGUGACUGAUGUGGCCGACUGUUCCCUCAAAUAUGGAAUGCUUUUUGUAGUUUAAUUUUUGGAAAUAAUAACUAACUCAAUUUAAUUUGAAAAAAUUGAAUGAACUAAAAAUUAAAGAUGGUGCAUAUGUUCUUGAAAAGGGGAAUCACCACAUCAUUUCCAUGUGUAUCCACAUCAUAUUCCAAAUUGACCUGCGUGAACACGAGCCUUGCAUUUUUAGUCCUACCUUUGACAUAUUAAGAUUUUAUCAUCCAGAUUCUUAUGAGUUUUAAUUGUGUAAUAUAUUUAGAAAAAAUAAGUGAAAAGAGAACAACCCAUUUGCUUGCUAUUCGUUAUACGUAAUUAAUUAACAUGUCUUAGAGGUACAACAUUAAUUCCCUCAAAAAAAAAAAGGUACAACAUUAAUAAAGUACCUAGAGUUAAAAAAAACCUAGCCUAACAAAAUAUCUCAGAAAUUGCUUGUCUAAAAUUAAAAUUACACAUUAACAAUUAAAAUAUGUAAAUGUAAUUAUAACAUUUUGAUAAUUACAAUAUUUAUCCUUUCCUUCUUCAAGGCUCCUUCAGGUAUCGUUUCCUCUAUUGAAUUUAUUUUAAAUUGUUUUUUUUUUUUGGGGGAGUGAGGAAAAUCUCUUAGGUUGACUAGAAAUAUGUUUGUAAUAGAAAGGAGGUUGGUGGUUUGGGGGUAAGGAGUUUUAGGGAGUUUAAUAGUGCCUUAUUGGGGAAGUGGUGUUGGCGGUUGUUGGUUGAUAGGGAGAAUUUAUGGUUUAGGGGUUGGCGACGAGGUAUGGGGUGGAAGGGGGCGUUUGUUGGAUGGAGAGCGAGAUGUGUCAGAGUGGUGGCGUGUUAUGGCUACCUUGUGGGGGGAAGAUUGGUUUAAUGCCCAUGUUAGUCGUUCUGUGGGGGAUGGUAGACAUACCUAUUUUUGGUCAGAUGUGUGGAUUGGUGGCGUGGCGUUAAGGGACAUGUUUAGAAGAUUGUUUGAGUUGUCGGUGAAUCAGCGGUCGACUGUGUCUGACAUGCAUCAUUUAGGUUGGGAUGGGGAAGGUGAGGCGUGGAGAGGCGGAGAUUGUUUGCUUGGGAGGAGGAGCAGGUGGGGGAACUUAUUUCUAUCCUUCAGUCUAUGAAUUUGCAUGUGCACAGGGAGGACAUAUGGCUCUGGAAGUUGGAAAAAUCAAAUGUUUAUUCCGUACGUAGUGUGUAUAACUUAUUGACAACUCAAUAUAUUGACGUUACUACGGCUGAAGCACAGGUUCUUUGGCAUAAGGAUGUUCCCAUGAAAGUUGUUAUUUUUACUUGGCGUCUACUUCGUGAUAGGCUGCCUACGAAGAAUAAUUUAUCCCAUCGUGGCAUUUUAACUAAUAAUGAUUCUUGUUUAUGUGUUGGUCGGUGUGGAUCUGUGGAAACUCUUAAUCACUUAUUUCUUCAUUGCUCUGUUUUUGGGGCGGUUUGGUACCAUAUUUAUUGUUGGCUUGGAAUUUCGUCUAUUUUACCAUAUGUUUCAAAGGAUCACUUUAUUCAGUUCCCUUAUGGUGGUGGUGGUUCUAAGGUGCAAUAAUCUAUUUUAUAUCUCAUUUGGUUUGCUAUAGUGUGGGAAAUAUGGAAAGAAAGAAAUAACAGGAUUUUCAAUGAUAAAGAGUGCUCGAUAUUGCUGUUAGUGGACAAAAUUAAGUUGCUUUCCUAUAGGUGGUUGAAGGCAAAAACUGUUGAUUGUCCUUUCAAUUACCAUGGUUGGUGGCUGAACCCACUUGCAAUGUUGGGCAUGAGUUAGCUGUUUUUCUUUCUUUGCUCUAUUUUUUGUUAUUUCGGUUCGGUCUCUGUACUUUUGUAUUGACCUUUGUGUUCUUUCUUGGUACACCUUGUGCUAGAAAGAACACUUUAUUUUGUUAAUAUAUUCCAUUUUAGCCUCUUAAAAAAAAAUUACAAUAUUUAUUAUGCAUACACAAAGCUUAAGAAAUUAAAAAAAUAUAUAUCAUUGGGAAAAUUAGAUCAUCUACAAUGGGGGGUCCUUCCCCUAAUUAGCACCAUGUUAAAUAGGCACCCCCAUUUUGACAUCAAUAACGGUUAUCAUGCAUAAUGAAUCCUUAUGCACCCUGCAUAAAUCCUAGCCCAUUAACCAUUUUGCAGUGGAAAUGGUUUCUGUGAGUUGGACUCCAAAACCAUUUUGCUGUGGAAAUGGCUUUUGUGAGUUGUACUCCAAAACCAUUAGAUGUACUUAAUGAUUUUCUUUGAUCGAGCAUGGUGCAACUGAAAACAGAACCGCCGAAAAUCAAUACUCUAUAAAGGUACAAAGAGCUUCGCCGGUGAAAUUGGAAACAGAACCGCCGGAAAAAGAAUUUCACGUGAAAGUUACGAAACGUGAAGUUACGAAACCGGAAGUGUUGUUCGGAUGAAUCGAAUCGGAAGUGACGAUUACGCAACGGCCGGGACUGAGAGUCUCGAUCUUGGUGCCAAAAGCAAGUCGCCGGAGGUAUUUGAUGGUGAAUAUAUCUGGAACGAUGUGUUCACGGAGGAGAUUCGGAACACAGCAAGAAAAGCAAGUGUGAAGCGAAGUAUCAGAGGGAGCGAAAAUAGUGAAAGGACCGGUCCAAGCAGGGGAAGUGGUGGUUGCAGCGUCGGAGAGCGACGGAGCGGCGGUUGCAAGCUCGUGAAAACCGAGAUGAGACAAAAUCGGUGGAAGUAAUGCAGUGUGAGAGAAGAACGACAAAUAAGUAAUGUCGUGAACCUGGUCGGAUAAAUCACGUCGGUGCAGUGAGCAAGGGUGAGAAUCACGUCGCCGUCGGAGCUACGAUGAGCUUCUGCGUGUGUGCGAUCAGAAUGUGAGAGCGCGAUCAAGUCUGAUGGUUGUGAAGUGUUUAUGCAGGGUGCAUAAGGAAAUGACUUAUGCAUAAUAACUUUGCUCUAAAAAUGAGUGCUUUUAUAGGCACCCUUUCUCUCCUAUUACUUAUGAGUCUCACAUGUGCAAUUAAUUCUAUUUUUUCUCUAUAUUCAAAUAUUGAAUUAUUUUAAUAUUAAAAAAUAAAUUAUAUAAUAGUUGCAAAUAAUAGUUAAAUUAUAUAAUAUCAAAUAAUAGUUUCUUGAAUUAUUAAUAAAAAUAAAAAAUGUUUGUUUUUUUUUAUAAUUUAUAAUUAAAUUACUUCAAUAUUUUAGAAUUUUAUAAUUAAUAAUGUGUAUAUAAAUUAUUGUUAAAAUUUAAUGAUAUAGAGAUAGUGCUGGGAUCCAAUUCAUAAUUAUUUUGAGGUGCUGAGUUGGAGAUAUUGAGUGCUUAUUCAAUAUUAAUUAUAAAAUGAAUGAUGUGUACAGUCGGUGCCCGUUUAAGCACCUAAAUGGAGUGCUCCAUUGUGGAUCAUAUUAGUAUAGUAAGGUUAGGUCAAAGUAAUAAAGUGAGUAUGCUGACAGGGCUAUGAUAUGGUAAGGUAAGGGAUAAGGAACGAAGGGUGUCUUAAUAAAAAAGAUAUUCAAAUAAUUGACCUGGUUGGUAGUAAGAAAAAGAAGUCACAAUCAGGUAUAAGAAGUUACCACUUGUGAUGUGAUACUCUAAGGCACUUAUCAUAUACCAUUUGUACAAUUCAAUCCUCAGACAGGACAUAUAUAUAUAUAUAUAUAUAUAUAUAUAUAUAUAUAUAUAUAUAUAUAUAUAUAUAUAUAUAUAUAUAUAUAUAUAUAUAUAUAUAUAUAUAUAUAUGUAUCACUUGGACCAUUUCAAGAUGCAGUACCUUAAAUGAGUAGUCCUAGCUGGCCUCAGUUAACAAAACCUAGUUUAAUUGAUCAAAUAUCAUCCUAUUAUUAUUGUAACUCACCAAAGUAAACAAAAUAAAUUUUUUUUUAAUGAAAUAACUAGCAUUUCAGUCAAAUAUAUAUGUUACAUAGGAUAAACAGAAGAAUGUAAUAAUACAUAUUUAGAUAUGAGCCCGUCACAUUGGAUAAACUUGGCCAUUAUUUUAGUUUUUUACAUACAUACCUUAUUGCACCAGAAUUUUAGAUCCAAGUAUCCCUCAAAAAAAAUAAAAAAUAAAAAAUAAAAAAUAAAAAGAAUUUAGACAAGUCUAUUAUCAGAAAGUUAAAAUGCCAGCCCAUAAAAGAUCUGCUUAAGCAUCCUCAAAAUUGUAUUUCAUUCUUUACCUUUUUUUGGUUUAAUUUUUCUUUAUACCAAUUUUCCAAAACAGUACACUUCUCCAAAGGUUUGGCCGACAUGUCACAUAAACUAUGGAAUCUUGCUCCUGAAGUAAUAUAAAUUAACUUUUCUCUAAGCCUCUAAAAACAAAGCCAUUCAAGGAUUUCUUUUCUAACUUUUGAAAAAGUUAACUUAUAGUUUUCUUUACCAUCUUUUUCUAAAAGCAACCAAACAAUCCAUGAUGUCAAAAUAUUAUCUUCAAUAAAAGUCCUUCAAUUUGAAAUGCCAUUAUUACCUUUAUUACAUCAACCAAGAUCAUGGUGGAGUCAUCCCACAAAAGGGUCAUGAUUCACUUCUUACUUUUCAUUCCUUUAAAUACUACAUACUUAGAAUACAAAGGGACUGAUCAAACCAAACAAGCAUAGCUAGCUUCCUCUAAUAGCUCAAACCAUUCCUCUUCACCUUGCUACUGCUAGGCCUUUCUACCAAACACAAAUCUUAUAUAUCAAUUCAAUAUGAAGACUUCACUUCUUCAUGACAUAGUUAUUGGAACCACAAUCAUCUCAGCAACAUAUGACCAAUUUCAAAAAUCAGUUAACAGAUACUUACUUGAUUCUGCCACUCAUCAAUGUCAACUUUCAACCAAACAACAAAACAAAAGUAAAACUUUAUUUUCCUAUUAGAAGAAUCUAAUUUCAUCUAAUCAUGUAUUGGUGGUUUUACUAAUAUAAUGUUCUUCAAUGUUUCAGGUAGAGCAAAUUCUAACCAAGAAAAGCGCAGCAGGAAGGCCGAUAGUCUCUCACAAAGAGUUCAAGAACAUGGUGAGUACCCUAGUAAGACUUGGUUGGGUUUCUUAUGAAAACCAUUUUCCUUUUGUAUCUAAUUCUCUUUAUAUAACUCUGAAAAAUUUCAGUGAGAUCGGGAGCAAACAUAUCUAAAACAAUAAAGAGGACGUUGAACUUAGGGGCUCAAAUUCUUCAAAUGGGUGGAGUGGAGAAAAUGUUUAGGCAGUAUUUUAGUGUGAGAGAAGGAGAGAGGCUAUCAAAAGUUUCGCAGUGUUAUCUUUCCACCACAUCCGGUCCUCUAUCUGGUCUCCUCUUCAUCUCCAAUGAAAAGGUGGCCUUCUGCAGUGAGAGAACAAUAAAAGUCUUCAAUCAGAAAGGUCAAAUGCGUAGGAUCCGCUAUAAGGUAAGUCGUGAACUAUAUAAAUAAAUACAUAAAUAUAACUCUUCAUAUAUCUCAGUUUUCCUAACCCAAGAUUUGUUAUGUUCAGGUUGCCAUUCCACUGAAGAAGAUCAAGUGUGUGAGGCAGAGUCAAAAUGUUGAGAAGCCAACACAAAAGUACAUAAACAUAGUCACAAUGGACAAUUUUGAUUUCUGGCUUAUGGGUGUCCUAAAAUAUCAGAAAACUUUCAAAUAUAUCGAGCAGGCAAUUUCUCAAGCAUGCUUAGAUGAAUAGAACAAGUCCACUCUUAGAGCAUAACAUAAAGAAUUUAAGAUAUAACUUACUAGAGAUGACAUACAACAAGCAAUGAUAUGACAGAUGUAAUUGAAGAUAUGCUUUGAAACGAGGGACUUCGUGAACAAAACACCUCAUCAUAGUUUUGGUUUCAUUGAUAUUAGCUCGGAUGUAAACUUGGCUGUCAACAUAUUGUUGAUAAAGUUGUUAAUGCAAGAGAUCAUUUGGCAUGUGCUUUGUAACCCCAAGCAGUGGCUGUUAAUGACAACAAGACCAUUCUUUUAGAAGGUAUCCAUUCAUCCAUAGGACUGAAUUAUAAAUUUAAUGAAGGGAGAUUAUUGUUAUGGUUGAAAAAGGAUGGAAAGAAAAGUAAAUAGAAAGACUAAAGCAAAUUUAGUACAUGAAAGUUCUUAGAAAAUUUCAAAUUGUAUUCAGACCAUUCAAAUAUUUAAUAUUCAAAUGUGAAUCUUUUCCAAUCAGUUAGUUUAAAUAAUUGGCAUGCAUUACAUCAAUAAUGGUGUUUAAACCCAGCCCAAAACAUUUUCCUCCUUUUCAGACUCAAGAAGAUUCCUUAGCAGAGAAUCAAGCUACUAACAAAGUUAAUUAAAAUAAACAGAGAUCCCUAAUCCUUACAUUACUAAUGGUUUACAUGCAGGCAUUAGAAGUCACUACGAAUUAUGAUACUCUAAAUAAAACACUUAUCAUCAUGUACCCCACAAAGUUAACUUUCAUCCCUAAUCUUUAUGAAUGUUCGCAGCAUUACCUUCUUCCCAUUACAGAAUUUGUGUCGAUUAUUUCUUUUGCGGAAUCUUUAACACUUCUAAAUUUCUCCCUUCCCCUACAGCCAGUUCUUUUGCAUUAAGAAACCUGAAGGAUUCUUACUUUUUUAGUGGCAUGAAUGAACAUGAACAAAGAUCUUACGAAAUUAUAUCCUUAAUGAAUCAGAUGUCUCCACCAAAUCAACCCCUACAAGAAAAAAUGGUGCAAGUCAUGUUCAGGCCUUGUACUUGGUUACAAAACAGGAUCAUAUCAUUCACCAAUUUUAAAUUUUGAUAGUCAAAAU